UCGGGGGUGGCGGAAGUGGUAUACGGCAGUAGAUUGACGGAAGCGCCACGAAGUCGUCCGUAAGCAGAAAUGCUGGUAUAAAACCUUAGCUCUGUGGCUUGAGGGUUCGAAUCCCUCCCCCCGAC
rnacentral:tRNA from 1 species